UCGCGGCGGCGUGCGCAGAAGGGUCUGGGCUCGAGCCUGCCUGGAGCCGCCGCCGGUGCAGAUCUUGGUGGUAGUAGCAAAUACUCCAGCGAGGCCCUGGAGGACUGAUGUGGAGAAGGGUUUCGUGUGAACAGCCGUUGCACACGAGUCAGUCGAUCCUAAGCCCUAGGAGAAAUCCGACGCCUACGGCGACGGGAUUAUUUUUUUUCGAAUCGACCCGUUGAUCGGGCGAAAGGGAAUCCGGUUCCUAUUCCGGAACCCGGCAGCGGAACCGCUGUUUGUCGGGCCCUCACAAGGGGUUCGUCAGGGUAACCUAAAAGGGCCCGGAGACGCCGUCGGGAGCCCCGGAAAGAGUUUUCUUUUCUGCAUGAGCGUUCGAGUUCCCUGGAAUCCUCUCGCAGGGAGAUAGGGUUUGGAACGCGAAGAGCACCGCAGUUGCGGCGGUGCCCGGGAAUUCCCGACGGACCUUGAAAAUCCGGGAGAGGGCCACGUGGAGGUGUCGCGCCGGCUCGUACCCAUAUCCGCAGCAGGUCUCCAAGGUGAAGAGCCUCUAGUCGAUAGAAUAAUGUAGGUAAGGGAAGUCGGCAAAUCGGAUCCGUAACUUCGGG
rnacentral:rRNA from 1 species